rnacentral:rRNA from 1 species
AUUGAACGCUGGCGGCUGGCCCACCACAUGCAAGUCGAACGAGUGGCGGAUGGGUGUGUAAUGCCUGGGAAACCGCCCGCUGGUGGGGGAUAACUACUGUGAACGGUAGCCAAUCCCGCCUACCACCCGUUGUGCCCAGCUGGGAGGAGCGAGUAGGUGGGGUAACGGCUCACCUAGGCGCCGAUCCCUAGCUGGGCUGAGAGGAUGACGAGCCACACUGGAACUGAGACACGGUCCAGACUCCUACGGGCGGCAGCGGUGGGGAAUAUUGCACAAUGGGCGCAAGCCUGAUGCAGCCAUGCCGCGUGGAUGAAGAAGGCCUUCGGGUUGUGAAGUACUUUCAGCGGGGAGGGGUUACUCGCAGAAGAAGCACCGGCUAACUACGUGCCAGCAGCCGCGGUAAUAC